rnacentral:rRNA from 1 species
CCUACGGGAGGCAGCAGUGGGGAAUAUUGGACAAUGGGGGGAACUCUGAUCCAGCGACGCCGCGUGAGUGAAGAAGUAUUUCUGUAUGUAAAGCUCUAUCAGCAGGGAAGAAAAUUACGGUACCUGACUAAGUAGCCCCGGCUAACUACGUGCCAGCAGCCGCGGUAAUACGGAGGGGGCAAGCGUUAUCCGGAUUUACUGGGUGUAAAGGGAGCGUAGACGGUGAAGCAAGUCUGAUGUGAAAGUUCGGGGCCCAACCACGGGAGUGCCUUGGAAACUGUUGGACUGGAGUACAGGAGAGGUGAGCGGAAUUCGUAGUGUAGCGGUGAAAUGCGUAGAUAUUACGAGGAACACCGGUGGCGAAGGCGGCUUACUGGACUGUAACUGACGUUGAGGCUCGAAAGCGUGGGGAGCAAACAGGAUUAGAUACCCUAGUAGUC